AGUGAACGCUGGCGGUAGGCCUAACACAUGCAAGUCGAACGGCAGCACAGUAAGAGCUUGCUCUUACGGGUGGCGAGUGGCGGACGGGUGAGGAAUACAUCGGAAUCUACUUUUUCGUGGGGGAUAACGUAGGGAAACUUACGCUAAUACCGCAUACGACCUACGGGUGAAAGCAGGGGAUCUUCGGACCUUGCGCGAUUGAAUGAGCCGAUGUCGGAUUAGCUAGUUGGCGGGGUAAAGGCCCACCAAGCCGACGAUCCGUAGCUGGUCUGAGAGGAUGAUCGGCACCCCUGAACCUGAGACACGGUCCAGCCCCCUACGGGAGGCAGCAGUGGGGAAUAUUGGACAAUGGGCGCAAGCCUGCUCCAGCCAUACCGCGUGGGUGAAGAAGGCCUUCGGGUUGUAAAGCCCUUCUGUUGGGAAAGAAAAGCAGCAGGUUAAUACCCCGCUGUUCUGACGGUACCCAAAGAAUAAGCACCGGCUAACUUCGU
rnacentral:rRNA from 1 species